AAUGAGGUGCCUGAUAAAAGGAAUAUUGUGAUAGAAUAAAUAAUGCAAGCCCAAGCUGCCCUCAUUG
rnacentral:tRNA from 1 species